GAUGAACGCUAGCUACAGGCUUAACACAUGCAAGUCGAGGGGAAACGGCAUUGAGUGCUUGCACUCUUUGGACGUCGACCGGCGCACGGGUGAGUAACGCGUAUCCAACCUUCCCAUUACUGUGGGAUAACCUGCCGAAAGGCAGACUAAUACCGCAUAGUCUUCGAUGACGGCAUCAGAUUUGAAGUAAAGAUUUAUCGGUAAUGGAUGGGGAUGCGUCUGAUUAGCUUGUUGGCGGGGUAACGGCCCACCAAGGCAACGAUCAGUAGGGGUUCUGAGAGGAAGGUCCCCCACAUUGGAACUGAGACACGGUCCAAACUCCUACGGGAGGCAGCAGUGAGGAAUAUUGGUCAAUGGACGGAAGUCUGAACCAGCCAAGUAGCGUGCAGGAUGACGGCCCUAUGGGUUGUAAACUGCUUUUGUAUGGGGAUAAAGUUAGGGACGUGUCCCUAUUUGCAGGUACCAUACGAAUAAGGACCGGCUAAUUCCGUGCCAGCAGUCGCGGUAAUACGGAAGGUCCAGGCGUUAUCCGGAUUUAUUGGGUUUAAAGGGAGCGUAGGCUGGAGAUUAAGUGUGUUGUGAAAUGUAGACGCUCAACGUCUGAAUUGCAGCGCAUACUGGUUUCCUUGAGUACGCACAACGUUGGCGGAAUUCGUCGUGUAGCGGUGAAAUGCUUAGAUAUGACGAAGAACUCCGAUUGCGAAGGCAGCUGACGGGAGCGCAACUGACGCUUAAGCUCGAAGGUGCGGGUAUCAAACAGG
rnacentral:rRNA from 1 species